GCCACCAUGUGGAAAUGGAGUGAGCAGCUGGAAUAUAAACUUGCAUGAGAAAAAGAUUCUUCCUUCACAUGAGAACGAUUACAAACCCUCAGCACCCACCGACAGGGUGAAGGAAACUCAAGAGGACUCACCUUAAGUGGAGACAGCAAAUUAAUUUAUUUAGAAUAUGCCAGCUCUUUAUCAUUUGGCUAAACUAUAGCCUCUCAAGGUUUGUUUCCCUGGGACUGAAGGACUCUCUAAAGAAAAAUGACAUCAAGAAAACUAUCUCAAGAGGCAGAACUUUCAAACAGCAAUGGGAGGCUUUCCAAGUGAUGUUUUGGACUUUGAUCUGCAGCAGAACUACCAAGCAGCAUCACUCCCUCCUAACCAAGAAAGCCACCAAUUCCUAACCAAUGAAUUCCAUCUGCUGAAAUGCUUGCAAAUGCUUCUGCCUCCUGAGAAGGAAGAGAUGGAGGAGGCCCCACUACAUGAUGGAAAUUAGAGAGUCUUAGUACACAGUGGGCGGGGGGUCAAGACUGAGCUGAACAGAGGCAGCAGAGUGACCAAAUAGAGCACACAGCCUGGACGGCAAGGCCUGAAUUCUCAUCUCCAUCAAGCUGGGGCUCUCUGACUUACAGGGCCCCAUCUGUAAAACAAGACUGUGUGAAAUGAUGCUGAAGUCUCUUCCUUCUCUAAAACUGUGCAUCUUGAAUUGCUCUAGAUUCUGAUCUUGGUAUGUCCUUUAAUGGACAUGAAAAAAUGCCUGUAUCUGAUGCAAUGUUGUCUAAAUCAACGAUUACAAAAAUGUUAGAAUUUUAUGAGCGACCUGGGAAAAUCCUAACACAGAGUA
rnacentral:lncRNA from 1 species